GGUUAAGCGACUAAGCGUACACGGUGGAUGCCCUGGCAGUCAGAGGCGAUGAAGGACGUGCUAAUCUGCGAAAAGCGUCGGUAAGGUGAUAUGAACCGUUAUAACCGGCGAUGUCCGAAUGGGGAAACCCAGUGCAAUUCGUUGCACUAUCGUUAACUGAAUACAUAGGUUAACGAGGCGAACCGGGGGAACUGAAACAUCUAAGUACCCCGAGGAAAAGAAAUCAACCGAGAUUCCCCCAGUAGCGGCGAGCGAACGAGGAGCAGCCCAGAGUCUGAAUCAGCUUGUGUGUUAGUGGAACGGUCUGGAAAGUCCGACGGUACAGGGUGAUAGUCCCGUACACCAAAAUGCACAGGCUGUGAACUCGAAGAGUAGGGCGGGACACGUGGUAUCCUGUCUGAAUAUGGGGGGACCAUCCUCCAAGGCUAAAUACUCCUGACUGACCGAUAGUGAACCAGUACCGUGAGGGAAAGGCGAAAAGAACCCCGGCGAGGGGAGUGAAAAAGAACCUGAAACCGUGUACGUACAAGCAGUGGGAGCACCUUCGGGUGUGACUGCGUACCUUUUGUAUAAUGGGUCAGCGACUUAUAUUCUGUAGCAAGGUUAACCGUAUAGGGGAGCCGCAGGGAAACCGAGUCUUAACUGGGCGUUAAGUUGCAGGGUAUAGACCCGAAACCCGGUGAUCUAGCCAUGGGCAGGUUGAAGGUUGGGUAACACUAACUGGAGGACCGAACCGACUAAUGUUGAAAAAUUAGCGGAUGACUUGUGGCUGGGGGUGAAAGGCCAAUCAAACCGGGAGAUAGCUGGUUCUCCCCGAAAGCUAUUUAGGUAGCGCCUCGUGAAUUCAUCUUCGGGGGUAGAGCACUGUUUCGGCUAGGGGGUCAUCCCGACUUACCAACCCGAUGCAAACUACGAAUACCGAAGAAUGUUAUCACGGGAGACACACGGCGGGUGCUAACGUCCGUCGUGAAGAGGGAAACAACCCAGACCGCCAGCUAAGGUCCCAAAGUCAUGGUUAAGUGGGAAACGAUGUGGGAAGGCACAGACAGCCAGGAUGUUGGCUUAGAAGCAGCCAUCAUUUAAAGAAAGCGUAAUAGCUCACUGGUCGAGUCGGCCUGCGCGGAAGAUGUAACGGGGCUAAACCAUGCACCGAAGCUGCGGCAGCGACACUAUGUGUUGUUGGGUAGGGGAGCGUUCUGUAAGCCUGCGAAGGUGACCUGUGAGGGUUGCUGGAGGUAUCAGAAGUGCGAAUGCUGACAUAAGUAACGAUAAAGCGGGUGAAAAGCCCGCUCGCCGGAAGACCAAGGGUUCCUGUCCAACGUUAAUCGGGGCAGGGUGAGUCGACCCCUAAGGCGAGGCCGAAAGGCGUAGUCGAUGGGAAACAGGUUAAUAUUCCUGUACUUGGUGUUACUGCGAAGGGGGGACGGAGAAGGCUAUGUUAGCCGGGCGACGGUUGUCCCG
rnacentral:rRNA from 1 species